GACGAACGCUGGCGGCGUGCUUAACACAUGCAAGUCGAACGAUGAACCCGGAGCUUGCUCCGGUGGAUUAGUGGCGAACGGGUGAGUAACACGUGAGUAACCUGCCCUUGACUCUGGGAUAACUGCGGGAAACUGUAGCUAAUACCGGAUACGACCCUCGGCGGCAUCGCCAGGGGGUGGAAAGAAUUUCGGUCAAGGAUGGACUCGCGGCCUAUCAGCUAGUUGGUGAGGUAACGGCUCACCAAGGCGACGACGGGUAGCCGGCCUGAGAGGGUGACCGGCCACACUGGGACUGAGACACGGCCCAGACUCCUACGGGAGGCAGCAGUGGGGAAUAUUGCACAAUGGGCGCAAGCCUGAUGCAGCGACGCCGCGUGAGGGAUGAAGGUCUUCGGAUUGUAAACCUCUUUCAGUAGGGACGAAGCGAAAGUGACGGUACCUAAAGAAGAAGCACCGGCUAACUACGUGCCAGCCGCCGCCGUAA
rnacentral:rRNA from 1 species